rnacentral:rRNA from 1 species
UGCCCAGACUCCUACGGGAGGCAGCAGUGGGGAAUAUUGCACAAUGGGGGAAACCCUGAUGCAGCGACGCCGCGUGAGUGAAGAAGUCUUUCGGUAUGUAAAGCUCUAUCAGCAGGGAAGAAAUAGCGACCUUUGGGUCGCCAGACGGUACCUGACUAAGAAGCCCCGGCUAACUACGUGCCAGCAGCCGCGGUAAUACGUAGGGGGCAAGCGUUAUCCGGAUUUAUUGGGUUUAAAGGGUGCGCAGGCGGAGGUGCAAGUCAGUGGUCAAAUUGCGGGGCUCAACCCCGUACUGCCGUUGAAACUGCAUCCCUUGAGUGCGCGAGAAGUAUGCGGAAUGCGUGGUGUAGCGGUGAAAUGCAUAGAUAUCGCGCAGAACUCCGAUUGCGAAGGCAGCAUGCCGGCUCCACACUGACGCUGAGGCACGAAAGCGUGGGUAUCGAACAGGAUUAGAUACCCGGGUA